GAUGAGAACGCAGCGAAAUGCGAUAAGUAGUGUGAAUUGCAGAAUUCAGUGAAUCAUCGAAUCUUUGAACGCACAUUGCGCCCCUUGGUAUCCCGAGGGGCAUGCCUGUUCGAGCGUCAUUUCACCACUCAAGCCUGGCUUGGUGUUGGGCGACGUCCCCUUUGGGGACGCGCCUCGAAACGCUCGGCGGCGUGGCACCGGCUUUAAGCGUAGCAGAAUCUUUCGCUUUGGAAGUCGGGGCCCCGUCUGCCGGAAGACCUACUCGCAAGGUUGACCUCGGAUCAGGCAGGGAUACCCGCUGAACUUAAGCAUAUCAAUAAGCGGAGGA
rnacentral:misc_RNA from 1 species